UAACCAAAGAAACAGAUGGCUUUCCGGAACCCUCUUCUAGCCAAGAAGAGUGCCCUGUAGCCAGAUCGGGAUGUCUUGUCCACAGAGCAUCAAGGGUGCGUCGAAGAAUAAUCGCCUUCCCUCUUUGAGGUGUUGGAUCCUGUUACCGGAUUGUGGACAGUCCUCCCGAAUCCCCCUUUCCUCGUUGGUACUUGUAUGACUGAUAGGGUUCUCCUUUUUGACUGUUCUUGGGGCGACAAGCUCGUUGUUAUGCACUGGUUGAGAAUUUUUUUUUUACAUGUUUGACACCCUUCAAAAUAAAGGAGGAUGUAUCUGGCAUCAUGGACAUGGAGGAGGAACUUGGACUUGUCACUGGUUUUGCAGAAUUCAACGACUUUCUAGUUGGCAUCCCUACUGGGGAGACAGAUGUUGCUUUUCAUUUGGAUCCAAAGGGCAUCUCCAAGAUGGUUGGGGAGCUAUUUGAGCUUCGGAAGGUUUUGUGUCCUUUCUAGCGUACUCCUCAAACUUCGUCUCCCAUAUGAGUGGUGAUGAUGGCCUCAUGUGCAUAAUGAGUGGUGGCUGGGAUCCGUGGGAUUAGUAUUGUGUAUGCGUAGUGGUGUUCCAACUGCUCGUUACAAGCCUUGCUGGUGGUGAUCAAUUCCUUGUCAGUGCACAUAUAAAUGCCUUUGAAAGUUAUUAUUUCAAAGAGCCUGGCGAUCCAUGUCUCCUCCCAGUUGCUCUUAGGCUUGGUCGUGCAGACAAGCAUGACAAUAAGGCUGAUGUAAGUUGCAAGAAGGAAAAUCUUCCUGAGUUUGAUAGGGAGCGUGGAAGCACUGAUCAAAUUGAAGACCAGGAGACGAAAAGAAGCUGCACAAAGCAAGCCUACUAGUCCUCUGCCUCAAGUUGAUUCAUCUGCAGCAGCAGCUCAUCGCUGAAGAUAUUGUAGGUAAACCAAGCGUAGAAUACAUACUAUUUUGGUUUCAUUGGAUGAACUCGUUUUGUUUUUAAUCUAUUUGUUGUACGUGUGCAAAUUGAAUGGGUUUGCCAAACCAUACACUAGCGGAACAAAUAUGAUAGUCUUGUUUUUUGGAUAAGGCUAUUGUCUAAACCAGUAUAAUUUACUGGGGAUUGAACUUGGGUGCAAAGGAAUGGAUGGUUUAUCUUUUUCUUGUAA